rnacentral:rRNA from 1 species
AACGCUGGCGGCGUGCUUAACACAUGCAAGUCGAGCGGGAAACUUCGGUUUCCAGCGGCGGACGGGUGAGUAACACGUGGGCAACCUGCCUCACAAUAGGGGAUAGCCCUCCGAAAGGAGGAUUAAUACCCUAUAACACAAGGAAAACGCAUGUUUUCUUUGCCAAAGAAUUUCGUUGUGAGAUGGGCCCGCGGCGCAUUAGCUUGUUGGUGAGGUAACGGCUCACCAAGGCUUCGAUGCGUAGCCGACCUGAGAGGGUGAUCGGCCACAUUGGAACUGAGACACGGUCCAGACUCCUACGGGAGGCAGCAGUGGGGAAUAUUGCACAAUGGAGGAAACUCUGAUGCAGCAACGCCGCGUGAGUGAUGAAGGUCUUCGGAUUGUAAAACUCUGUCUUAUGGGACGAUAAUGACGUACCAA